GCCGAUGUGGCGGAAUGGCAGACGCAGUGGACUCAAAAUCCACCGGUGGCAACACCGUGCCGGUUCGACCCCGGCCAUCGGCACCA
rnacentral:tRNA from 4 species